GACGAACGCUGGCGGCGUGCUUAACACAUGCAAGUCGAGCGGUAAGGCCCUUUCGGGGGGUACACGAGCGGCGAACGGGUGAGUAACACGUGGGUGACCUGCCCUCAGCUCUGGGAUAAGCCUGGGAAACCGGGUCUAAUACCGGAUAUGACUCCAUGACGCAUGUUGUGGGGUGGAAAGCCUUGUGCGGCUGAGGAUGGGCCCGCGGCCUAUCAGCUUGUUGGUGGGGUGAUGGCCUACCAAGGCGACGACGGGUAGCCGGCCUGAGAGGGCGACCGGCCACACUGGGACUGAGACACGGCCCAGACUCCUACGGGAGGCAGCAGUGGGGAAUCUUGCGCAAUGGGCGAAAGCCUGACGCAGCGACGCCGCGUGAGGGAUGACGG
rnacentral:rRNA from 1 species